AUGAACGCUGGCGGCGUGCCUAAUACAUGCAAGUCGAGCGAACGGACGAGAAGCUUGCUUCUCUGAUGUUAGCGGCGGACGGGUGAGUAACACGUGGAUAACCUACCUAUAAGACUGGGAUAACUUCGGGAAACCGUAGCUAAUACCGGAUAAUAUUUUGAACCGCAUGGUUCAAAAGUGAAAGACGGUCUUGCUGUCACUUAUAGAUGGAUCCGCGCUGCAUUAGCUAGUUGGUAAGGUAACGGCUUACCAAGGCAACGAUGCAUAGCCGACCUGAGAGGGUGAUCGGCCACACUGGAACUGAGACACGGUCCAGACUCCUACGGGAGGCAGCAGUAGGGAAUCUUCCGCAAUGGGCGAAAGCCUGACGGAGCAACGCCGCGUGAGUGAUGAAGGUCUUCGGAUCGUAAAACUCUGUUAUUAGGGAAGAACAUAUGUGUAAGUAACUGUGCACAUCUUGACGGUACCUAAUCAGAAAGCCACAGCUAACUACGUG
rnacentral:rRNA from 1 species